GAUGAACGCUAGCGGGAGGCUUAAUACAUGCAAGUCGAGGGGCAGCAUGAGGCUUCGGCCUUGAUGGCGACCGGCGCACGGGUGAGUAACGCGUACACGAUCUACCUUUAAGUGGGGGAUAGCCUUGGGAAACUGAGAUUAAUACCCCAUGUGAUUGUACUUAUUAGAAGGAUACAAUUAAAACUCCGGUGCUUAAAGAUGAGUGUGCGUCCCAUUAGCUAGUUGGUAAGGUAACGGCUUACCAAGGCAACGAUGGGUAGGGGGCGUGAGAGCGUGACCCCCCACACGGGUACUGAGACACGGACCCGACUCCUACGGGAGGCAGCAGUAAGGAAUAUUGGACAAUGGGCGCAAGCCUGAUCCAGCCAUCCCGCGUGCAGGAUGACAGCCCUACGGGUUUUAAACUGCUUUUAUUUGGGACGAAUCGAUUGGAUUUAUCCAAUUUUGACGGUACCAAAGGAAUAAGCACCGGCUAACUCCG
rnacentral:rRNA from 1 species